GGGCUUAACACAUGCAAGUCGAGGGGCAGCAUGGUCUUUUCUUGCUAAGGCCGAUGGCGACCGGCGCACGGGUGAGUAACACGUAUCCAACCUGCCGUCUACUCUUGGACAGCCUUCUGAAAGGAAGAUUAAUACAAGAUGGCAUCAUGAGUCCGCAUGUUCACAUGAUUAAAGGUAUUCCGGUAGACGAUGGGGAUGCGUUCCAUUAGAUAGUAGGCGGGGUAACGGCCCACCUAGUCUUCGAUGGAUAGGGGUUCUGAGAGGAAGGUCCCCCACAUUGGAACUGAGACACGGUCCAAACUCCUACGGGAGGCAGCAGUGAGGAAUAUUGGUCAAUGGGCGAGAGCCUGAACCAGCCAAGUAGCGUGAAGGAUGACUGCCCUAUGGGUUGUAAACUUCUUUUAUAAAGGAAUAAAGUCGGGUAUGCAUACCCGUUUGCAUGUACUUUAUGAAUAAGGAUCGGCUAACUCCGUGCCAGCAGCCGCGGUAAUACGGAGGAUCCGAGCGUUAUCCGGAUUUAUUGGGUUUAAAGGGAGCGUAGAUGGAUGUUUAAGUCAGUUGUGAAAGUUUGCGGCUCAACCGUAAAAUUGCAGUUGAUACUGGAUAUCUUGAGUGCAGUUGAGGCAGGCGGAAUUCGUGGUGUAGCGGUGAAAUGCUUAGAUAUCACGAAGAACUCCGAUUGCGAAGGCAGCCUGCUAAGCUGCAACUGACAUUGAGGCUCGAAAGUGUGGGUAUCAAACAGGAUUAGAUACCCUGGUAGUCCACACGGUAAACGAUGAAUACUCGCUGUUUGCGAUAUACAGCAAGCGGCCAAGCGAAAGCGUUAAGUAUUCCACCUGGGGAGUACGCCGGCAACGGUGAAACUCAAAGGAAUUGACGGGGGCCCGCACAAGCGGAGGAACAUGUGGUUUAAUUCGAUGAUACGCGAGGAACCUUACCCGGGCUUAAAUUGCAGAUGAAUUACGGUGAAAGCCGUAAGCCGCAAGGCAUCUGUGAAGGUGCUGCAUGGUUGUCGUCAGCUCGUGCCGUGAGGUGUCGGCUUAAGUGCCAUAACGAGCGCAACCCUUGUUGUCAGUUACUAACAGGUUCCGCUGAGGACUCUGACAAGACUGCCAUCGUAAGAUGUGAGGAAGGUGGGGAUGACGUCAAAUCAGCACGGCCCUUACGUCCGGGGCUACACACGUGUUACAAUGGGGGGUACAGAGGGCCGCUACCACGCGAGUGGAUGCCAAUCCCCAAAACCUCUCUCAGUUCGGACUGGAGUCUGCAACCCGACUCCACGAAGCUGGAUUCGCUAGUAAUCGCGCAUCAGCCACGGCGCGGUGAAUACGUUCCCGGGCCUUGUACACACCGCCCGUCAAGCCAUGGGAGCCGGGGGUACCUGAAGUGCGUAACCGCGAGGAGCGCCCUAGGGUAAAACUGGUGACUGGGGC
rnacentral:rRNA from 1 species